rnacentral:sRNA from 1 species
AAACAAGAUUUUAACCCGCGGUAUACCGCGGCACGAUUUAUUUUUAAAAGUAAUAUAUAUUAAAAUUUGCAAAUUUUAUUUUUACAAAAUAUUUAUAUUUUACAGUUUAUAAUUGUAAUUAAGUAACGAUAUACCACGAAUUCAUGAGACAAUUGUUAAAAAAACUGAAGUUUUGACCCCUAUUAAAACAGCAUAUUAAUAAUAUUUUAAAAUUUUAUAAAUAUUGAUUCAAAUACAUCCACCAUAUAACCCAAUUCCAAAAUAAAACACGUUUUGUAAUUUCUUUACCCGUCCCAUGAUUUUUUUUUUAAGUAGUAAUUUUUAUAAUUUUAGAAUUA